rnacentral:lncRNA from 1 species
ACUGUGAGGUUGGAAAAUACCAAGAUUCCUCUUGGUCUCUUCUAUCAGAGAUCAAUUUUGCUUUGGUGGACAAGUCAUUGAAAGUAACUGUUCAUUCAUGUCGGCUAGAAUAAAAGCAAAUUAACAUGAUGAUCAGGGAUUGUCCAUUUUUUCAAUCAAGCAAGAUGUCAAAAUUACAUGAGAGGGUCUCUCCCUCUCCCUCCCUCCCUCCCUCCCUCCUU